GACGAACGCUGGCGGCGUGCCUAAUACAUGCAAGUAGAACGCUGAAGGAGGAGCUUGCUUCUCUGGAUGAGUUGCGAACGGGUGAGUAACGCGUAGGUAACCUGCCUGGUAGCGGGGGAUAACUAUUGGAAACGAUAGCUAAUACCGCAUAAGAGUAGAUGUUGCAUGACAUUUGCUUAAAAGGUGCAAUUGCAUCACUACCAGAUGGACCUGCGUUGUAUUAGCUAGUUGGUGGGGUAACGGCUUACCAAGGCGACGAUACAUAGCCGACCUGAGAGGGUGAUCGGCCAUACUGGGACUGAGACACGGCCCAGACUCCUACGGGAGGCAGCAGUAGGGAAUCUUCGGCAAUGGACGGAAGUCUGACCGAGCAACGCCGCGUGAGUGAAGAAGGUUUUCGGAUCGUAAAGCUCUGUUGUAAGAGAAGAACGAGUGUGAGAGUGGAAAGUUCACACUGUGACGGUAUCUUACCAGAAAGGGACGGCUAACUACGUG
rnacentral:rRNA from 1 species